CACGUAAAGUGAGUAAGUUGAAAUAGUUUUGGAAUAAUCGUUAUUAUUAUUAAUCGUUAUUAUAUUAUAUGGAAUAAUCGUAUUGUAAUAAAUGAUUUUUUUUUUUUUUUUGAUUUAUUUGAUGGCCAAAAAAAUUUUAUUUUGUCAUUUAAUAAUAUUAAAUGAUGAAAAUUAGAGAAAUUUAUUAUGAAUAUAAUUAGUGGUAAUUCCAAUGAGUGCUUUGACACUUAAAUUUUCAAAGAAAAAUUUCAAUAAGUGAAGUUAAUCGUUUUGGCAUUUGUAUGAACGGCACAUAUGUUCUAUUGGAAUAUCUAUAUCGAUAAGAAUUAAGUAAUUCUGAUAAAAUUCAGUUUCUUUUAAAGGAAUUAUUAUAAAAAAUUCAUGUCGAACGUGAAGAAGAAUAUCUAUUGAUCUUUCUUUCUUUUUUUCUUAAUGUCCUCGGACAAUCGUUGUUUCAACGCGAGGAAACAAUGCAAAAAUAAAAAUACCAAAAGUUUUUUUUUUAUUUCAUUAUAUUUUCGUUAUUAUAACGAACAUGAUAUCGACAUAAAGGUACGGAAUGAAAAGUCACAGGUAGAAUAACAUGUAGAAAAGACAUUAAACUUUACUACAACUAAUAACACGAGCGACGUUUAAGCCGCUUUAUUUUAACUGCUCUCUGUUAAAAGCUUCUUCUAGUAUCCGACAUCGCAUGAAGACAAUUUUUUCUUAUUGAAUAAUGUUUUUCAUCUGUGCCAUGGCGUAUAACCAUUUUCUUUUCUUUUUUUUUUUUUUUUUUUUUUAAUUUCAAGUUACUCGGCUUAAAAACUUGUUUCCGGAGGUAGCAUUUACGACGAUUGUUACUGCUUUGUAAAAUAUUAUCUCUUUCAUUUUUAUUUUCAUUGUUAUUAUUAUGUAGGUGACUUGUUAAUGAUUGAUAUAUUAAAACAAAUUUAUUCAUAACUAAAAGCGCAUGUAAAUUAAAUGUAAAUUAAAUUUACGUAGGAAACGAUGCAGAAAUUUUCGUUACAAUCCCUCUCUGCGAAUUGAAAUGACAUUAUUCUUUUAAUAAAUAAUAUAAUUUCAAACAAUUACUGAUGAAGGAAUAAACAUAAAAUACGUAUAAAAUCAAAACAAUCUUAUAACCAUCGUUGUAUCUAAUUGAACUUGAACUUUAUACUCGAAUGAUAGAUACGAGUGGAUAUAAUAAAUAUAAACAAAUGUGCGUGUACGUAUCGAUCGUGUAUCACCUUUAAAAUGUCUUUAGGUGAUUUUCUAUAACAACAUAAACAACGACGACGACGACGACGAUGACGAAGGUGAUCUCUUAGAGAUUAGUAAAGAAGAAUCUUUCGAACAGAUAAGUCAUAAGAUAUCUUAAUUAAAACUUCUAGAAAUACAUCGUACGAGAUAUAUUUUGAGGUGGAUAGUGCGUGAAUGACGAUGUUGCCGAGUUUUACGUGGAAGUUUGUACGAGAAGAGUACGUAAACCAUCGUUGAAUGUACGCACUUAAAGAAAGAUGGAAAGAGAGAGAGAGAGAGAGAGAGAGAAGAAGAGAGAGAGAGAGAGAGCGAGAGAGAGAGAGAGAGAGAAGGAGAAGAGAGUGCUGCCCGUUCGAAGUACUUCGUUCUUGCAGCUACCCCGGUAUUUUAGUAGUUCGCCGAAACGAAGAGCUAUUUUCACCUCAAGAUCGCACACGCCGUACGAUAGCUACGUUGCAGAGGAGCACGGUUUACGGACAUCGCAAUAUGAAGAGAGAAUGAGGUCGACCACUCGGUGAAAUGGGUUAGAGAAGAUGGAUACCGACUGACUACCAUCCAACCAGCAUCCAUGAUCCAUGUCGGUUCGACCAAGUUAGUUCUUUUCAUUGCGAAACAAGUUUUAUGAGAGCACACGACUGAAGAUAAAGAGUACAUAAUACGAACGGAAGACUACGUAAUUCGUUGCUCUGAAAAAUAUAGCGGCCUUUAAAUGAGAUAAGGUUCAAAGAAGUCUUCUACCGAUAUACGUAUGCCGAUAAGCAGAAAAAGAGUGACAGGGUCAAGAUGAAGGUCGUCCGAUGAAAAGAAGAGAAGCGGAGAGAUACGGAAGCGUUUCUUACGCACGGGAAUGAUCCGGAGAUCGAUUUAGCGUGAAUCGAUAACCCUUUGCGGCCGAAGGUGCUCUCUUACGAAUUAAGUCACUUUCGAAAACUGACGCGUAUUUCUACGAAUCCUUAGCGAUGGUAGAUGAAUGAUAAGAAAACGAAGAGAAAGGGAUGGAUGAUGGGGAUACGCUCGUAGCUCGUAAGAGGAACGAUAAAAAAAUAAAAAAAAAAAGAAAAAAAAAGAAAAAGAAAAAGAAAGAAAGAAAGAAAGAAAGGUAAAAAUAUAUGAGAGGAAAGAAGAAAGAUACAUUCUCGCGCGUACGUUCAAGGAUUAUCAUUUCAAUGUCGAUGGUUUAUAGUUUUCCCUUGCUCGUAUCUUUCUUUCUUUCUUUUUUUUUUCUUUUUUUUUUUUUUUUUUUAACAUCGUUUGAAUAUUUAAUCAAUUAACUUAACUCGUGAUUUACAUAGAUGAAAGUUUCGGUCGAUGCUCGUUUUUGAUUUUUCCCAUUGAAUUCAAAGGUUCGAUCCGAUAUCGAUCUCAAUUCGAGAGAGGACAAACGCAAGACAAGACGAAAGAAUCUUAAACCUUCGUCACUACGAGCUCGUCGAGACUUUUACGGAGAAGAACAGGGAGAUAUGAAAAAUGAUGCGAUCGACGUAACGGAGGGAGAAAAAAAAUAAAAGAUGGAAAAAAGAAAUAGAAAAAAAAAAAAAAACAAAAAAGAAAAAAAAAACAAAAAGAAGAAGAAGAAAAAAUAAAGAACAAAGAAUUCCGUAGUGAAGGUGCUUUCGGGGAAAAAUUCUUUGCGUACUUCGCAAAACGAUCGGAAUUCCAUGCGUCCCUUUUCCCAUUGUUGUUACUUUUUAUUUCAUUCUCUUCCUUUUCUCUUUUUCACUUAUUCUUUUUUUCGAUUUCGCUUAAUUCGCUUAACUCAUAUCGUAAUAAUAUCCAAUCGCGUCUAUGAGAAUUUUUUCUCCUAGUAUCGAUACUCGCGAUCGAAAAAAUUGUAUUGUACCAAGUUAAUUUUGUCCAAUGGAUCAAAGUUAAAAGAUCGUCAUUGAAAAUAUAAGUAAUUGCAUAUAAUGUGUAUUAGAAUGCGUAUCAACAAUGACGAUCAUAUUUAUGCGGAUAAAUACGAAGAAGAAAGAAAAUUGCGUGGAAAUUUUGACUCGUCCCUAAUAAAUACUUAGCGUGCAUUUGCGAGCUCAUUAUCCGCGAAUCCCGUUAAUACUCGAUUUCUGUAAUCAACAGGGACAUUAAUAUGCAUUUUCAAAUAAAUGCCGCUUGUCGAGUUUGGAAGACGCAUUUCCGAGCGCUUUUACGUUGGAUUUUCACGGAGGGAUGACCGUUACGCGAAUCGACCAGAUCGCGUCAUAUUUACGCAUUGAAUUUCCGAAAUUACGAUUGCGGUGGGUUUGAUUUAUGCCACGUUUUCGAGCUAUCCGCCGUUAGUCAUAUAACAUUCCUCGUGCCUUCCCGAAUUCUUCCUCAUUCCUCCUCCCGCACCAACCAUCCCUCUCAAUUUUCGUUAUUAUUUCCCACCCUUUCUCUCGUUCGCCCACUUCAUCCUCAUUCUCUUUAACGUGUACGUAUCAUUUUUAUAUAAUUAACUUAAUUAUAAAUCGAGAUUACGAAAGCUGAAAUGGUAAAAAAGAAAAAAGAAAAAAAACCCGAUAUCUAUUCCAAAUAAAGAGAGAGAGAGAGAGAGAAAAAUAGAAGAUAACGAAAAUAAAAUGAUUAUAAUUUUCGAUUGUGUUAUAAGAAAUAACAGAAAGAAAAAAUUGGUUAUAUGACAAUGCGACAGAAAAAUUAGAAAUUGACGUAAUGUACGUGACGCGUAUCGUCUGGACCAGUUUUACGGCACGCGCGCGUAUCUAUGAGACGUCACGAUCGAAGGUGCGCAAAUAACCUUUGAACCGAAAGAGAAGUAGGAGUCUGCGCACAACAGAGUCGAUUUCCGGUCCUCUGUGAAUACGCACGAGACCGUACUAGGAAGCAGUUCUCUUCGGGAGUACGAAUGGGAAUGAACGAAAAUGAAUUCGUUCAGUCGAAUUUACAUAGAAUCGUAAAUACAAGAGAUUUUAGUACGUAAGAGAAAGACAUUCAAACGGGUUUUUUGUUACUAACGUCAAUUUGCAUCAAAAGCGAUACGUGCUGUCUCUCUCUCUUCCUCUCUCUCUCUCUCUCUCUCUCUCUCUCUCUCUCUCUCUGUGUCUCUUUCGUAAAACGUAACUUUUCACAUGAAACGAAGGAAUUAAGAAAAAAAAAAAAAAAAAAAGAAAAAGUAGAUUUCGAUUAAAUUUUAUUCUAUCUUUAUAUUAUUGCGAUGAAAAAAAAUUUACUUUUCCCUGAUCUAAAGAUAAACUACCGAUCAACCGAUCAUUUAUGAUUGCGCAAAUCGAUUGAUAAUUCAUAAAAAAAAUUAUCGCGUUAUCUAUUAAUAAUAGUACAGAUUGACUUUUAAUGAUUAAUGAAUAACGAUGUUUGAAAGGAAGUGUGUCAGAGAUUCCUACGUUUUACAGCUUUAUAGUGAUAACAUUAUUUGCUUUUAAUGAUAACGAUGCUCUUUUGUUGUCAUCGAACUUGUCGACUUCGAUUUUGUGGAAGACAAUUAUCAAUCGCUUGUUUCGCGAUCUAUUGUCGUGAAAUGAUCUACAUUUAUGUAAUUCUAAAAUGGAGAAAACAGUUAGAGGAAACUAAGAACAAGGAGAGAGAGAGAGAGAGAGAGA